rnacentral:lncRNA from 1 species
AGACAGAGAUUUAUAAAUAGACAAUGGCAUGACAUUUAUAGAUGCACCCAGAUCAAGCAUAACAUUUUCAAAUUUAUUGUUCCCAAUCACACAAGGAAUGCAAAACGUACCUGGGUCCUUGCACUUUUCAGGAAUGUGCGGGACCGAUUUACCAAUAAGAGCUGAUACAUUCCUCCCCAUGCUGAUCCGUUCAUUGCCCUUCAUCUUCCUCUUGUGUGUGCACAACUCCUUCAAGAAUUUGGCAUAUUUUGGUAUCUGCUUAAUGGCAUCGAGUAGAGGUAUGUUCACCUCUAUCAAUUUCAGGAUCAAGAGGUGGUACGAAUCCAGGAUUUCCUCUAGUCAUGCACUAAAUC